rnacentral:lncRNA from 1 species
UCAGACAGACAGUCUCUCUCUCUCCCCAAUAUGAUCAGAGUACGUGUUUGUUUCUCUCUCUAGACAUGCAUGAAUGUCUCUUUCUCUUUCUCUUUCUCUCAUCUCAAAUCUCUCCCUCUCAUCUCAAAUCUCUCUGACAAAGAGAAGUCAUAUCGUCGAGGAAAGCAGUAAAAUACUCUGCUGGGUGACUGACAGCAACUUCAAUGCCCCCCUCUUCCCUCUUUCUCAUUCUUUCACCCUUUCUCUCUCUAAGUCUUUCUCCUUCUCCUUCUCUCUCUAGCUGUGUGGCCUCUCCUUUCAGGCCCGGCCCUCUCUUGCCCUCCCCCAUCUUGGGCAACGUUAUUUUACUGUGCCCCUGUUACUAUUCCUAAUGUCCAACCUUUUUGACCAAGCAGCCAUGGAUGUUCUGAGGUGGCCGCCCAUGCAUACGUUUGACCGACCGACCGUGCGCGCGCGUCGAGCUUCGGAGAAAACACGAGGUCGAGAAAAAAUGUCGAACCAUCAAGAACAACGGUUAUGGGUUAGGGUUUAAAAUUUAGGGUCGUUGUGUUUUACGUUCGGCUUUGUUUCUUUUUUCUUUUGUUGACUAUUUGCUUAUCCAUGCG